UUUGCGGCGGCCAUGGCCCAGGAGAGACGCCCGGUCCCAUUCCGAACCCGGAAGCUAAGACCUGGCACGGCGAUGGUACUGCACCCGACAGGGUGUGGGAGAGUAGCACGCCGCCGCACCAC
rnacentral:rRNA from 1 species